rnacentral:rRNA from 1 species
UACGUAGGGGGGCAAGCGUUGUCCGGAUUUAUUGGGCGUAAAGAGCGUGUAGGCGGCCAGGUAGGUCUGCUGUGAAAACUCGAGGCUCAACCUCGAGACGUCGGCGGAAACCAUCUGGCUAGAGUCCGGAAGGGGAGAGUGGAAUUCCUGGUGUAGCGGUGAAAUGCGCAGAUAUCAGGAAGAACACCCGUGGCGAAGGCGGCUCUCUGGGACGGUACUGACGCUGAGACGCGAAAGCGUGGGGAGCGAACAGG